rnacentral:tRNA from 1 species
CAGAUAUUAGUUUUAAUUAAAAAUUUUAAUUUUGGAUAUUAAGGAUAAGAGUAAUCUUAUAUCUGA